AUUAAGGAAGGCACAUUGUCCUUGUAACGGGGAUCCAGCAGGUUGGCCACCCAGUAAUCAGCACAAGUUAGAUUGAGGGCAACUCGGCAGUCGUUGCGCAGGCACUUUGGUGACUCUAGAUAAGCUCGGGCCGAUUGCACGUCCCCAUGACAGCGACGACGCAUUCGGAUGUCUGCCCUAUCAACUUUCAGUGGUACUUUCUGUGCCUACCAUGGUGACCACAGGUAAUGGGCAAUCAGGGUUCGAUUCUG